rnacentral:lncRNA from 1 species
UUCAUGUGUUUCACAGUGUGCUCUCUGACAAAGACAGUUGAUGGGGUCAAGGAGAGAGGCUCAUCUCUACUCCACCCGCAGUGGCUAGGAUACAGUCAGCUGUUCCCUGUAGAGAUGCCCAUCUGCUUCUCUUAGACAGGCCCUUGCAUCCUGGCAAGCUCAUAGACUACCAAGACCUAGGGGUAAACAUCAGAGGAAGCGAACCACAUCUCAGCAAAUCCUGUAUUAUGGCCCCAGAUUCAUGAGCCAGGGGAAAGGAGUGCAAG